rnacentral:rRNA from 1 species
CUGGGCGUAAGGAUGCGUAGGCGGAUAUUUAAGUCAGAUGUGAAACCCCCAGGCUUAACUUGGGGACUGCAUUUGAAACUGGAUAUCUAGAGUGCAGGAGAGGUAAGUGGAAUUCCUAGUGUAGCGGUGAAAUGCGUAGAGAUUAGGAAGAACAUCAGUGGCGAAGGCGGCUUACUGGACUGUAACUGACGCUGAGGCAUGAAAGCGUGGGUAGCAAACAGGAUUAGAUACCCUGGUAGUCCACGCUGUAAACGAUGAAUACUAGGUGUGGGAGGUAUCGACUCCUUCCGUGCCGCCGCUAACGCAAUAAGUAUUCCGCCUGGGGAGUACGAUCGCAAGAUUAAAACUCAAAGGAAUUGACGGGGGCCCGCACAAGCAGCGGAGCAUGUGGUUUAAUUCGAAGCAACGCGAAGAACCUUACCUGGACUUGACAUCCCCUGAAUAACCUAGAGAUAGGCGAAGCCCUUCGGGGCAGGGAGACAGGUGGUGCAUGGUUGUCGUCAGCUCGUGUCGUGAGAUGUUAGGUUAAGUCCUGCAACGAGCGCAACCCUUAUCCUUAGUUGCUACCAUUAAGUUGAGCACUCUAAGGAGACUGCCCGGGUUAACCGGGAGGAAGGUGGGGAUGACGU